GACGAACGCUGGCGGCGUGCUUAACACAUGCAAGUCGAACGGAGUGGCGAACGGGUGAGUAACACGUGGGUGACCUGCCUUGCACUCCGGGAUAAGCUUGGGAAACUGGGGCUAAUACCGGAUAGUGCAAGAUGAGCUAGCGGCCUAUCAGCUUGUUGGGUGGGUAGUGUCCUACCAAGGCGUCGACGGGUAGCCUGCCUGAGAGGGUGUACGGCCACAUUGGGACUGCGAUACGGCCCAGACUCCUACGGGAGGCAGCAGUGGGGAAUAUUGCACAAUGGGCGGAAGCCUGAUGCAGCGACGCCGCGUGGGGGAUGAAGGCCUUCGGGUUGUAAACUCCUGUCGACAGGGACGCGGUACCUGUAUAAGAAGCACCGGCUAACUACGUGCCAGCAGCCGCGGUAAUUC
rnacentral:rRNA from 1 species